ensembl:lncRNA
UUUAAGUUAAAGAGAUAUGCAUUUGAAUGGUGGACUAUGCAGUGGAAAAAGAAUUGGUUGAAUGCUUAUAGGCAUAGGAUCCUGGUCAAGAGCUCCAUGUCCAGGUGGAGGCCAGUGACAAGUGGUGUCCCCUGGCGUCUCUGUUGGGACUAGUGCUCUCCAAAAUCCUUGUCAGUGGAUCUAGACGUUGGGAUCCAAUGCACCCUCAGCAAGUUUGAUGGUAAAAUUUAUUUGAUUGGUACGUUUGAUUGAGUAGAAGAAAGGGUUGCCUUUCAAAGGGACCUGGACAAGAUUGAAAAGUAAGCCCAUAUGAGUUGAGUGAGGUUCCACAAGUUGUAGUGGCUUGAACUUGGCUCAGGUCAUUCCCAGGUUUGAGUACAGUGUGUGAGAUGAGCUAACAGAGAACUGCCUUGUUGACAAGGACUUGGAGUUUUAGGUGGACAAAAAGUUUGACAUGAGCCAUAAAGUGUGGGCAUGCAGCCCAGAUGGCAACUUGUAUCCUGGGCUCCAUCAGAAGAGCGGUGGCUAGCAGGAUGAGAGAAUUGAUGGUCCCAACUCCCUUUUGUCUUCAUUAGGAACCACCUGGGGUGCUGUGGAGCAAUUGAAGCAGAAGGAGGAGAGGUCGUGAAGGUGAUAGGAAGGCUGAGGCACCUCUUUUACGAAGAAAGACUGAGACUUGUUCAGCCUGGAUGAGGACUGAGGAGGGAGACCUCACUGUGGCCUUCCAAUACGUGAAGGGAGCUUAUAAAAAGAGGCUGUUGGGCACCAGUUCAGUCAUUCAAUGCUGGUAUGUGUCUGGUCCGGCCAAUCAGUUAUUUGCCAUCUGCUGAUUAAAAAGAAGAGAAAAUGAGGAAAAUGAGACUGUACACUCAAUGGAAACAACACAUUUAUGCAAAUUCCAAACUGCACGGAGGAAAAGAGUUCGCACUGGAGAGCUGGGAAGUGAUACCCAGAGCAGCACUCAGUGACUCUGCCCUAGAACAAAGUUACUGUUCUAGUGUGAAAGCAAGCUGGAGUGAUGGUGAAUCGUUUCCUUACAGCACCUUUACCUCAAAGCUGCCUGGCUCCUAUUCUGUGCUGAUAUCUGUCAGGACCAUCCCUGCACGUACUUACAAUUUGCUGGUUAAUAAGAAGUCCAAGUGAGGAAAACGUGACCGUACACUCAAUGGAAAUAACACUUUGCCAUUUCAACACAGCACGGAGCAAAAGAGUUCGCGGUGGAGACCCGGGAAGUGAUACCCAGAGCAGCGCUCGGUGUGCGGGCACUAAGCCUGCUGCCAAAGGUGGCGAGUAUUUACAUUGCUCUUUGGGAUGGUGUUUGCAGGAGGAACGGAGAUGCGAACCUCCAAGUCCACCCACAUCGGCAGCGGUGCUCGGAACGCGGAGGAGGAGCAGUUCCCCGUUGCGCCGCUGGGUGGGG